UACGUAGGGUGCGAGCGUUAAUCGGAAUUACUGGGCGUAAAGCGUGCGCAGGCGGUUUGGUAAGACAGAUGUGAAAUCCCCGGGCUUAACCUGGGAAUUGCAUUUGUGACUGCCCGGCUAGAAUCUGGCAGAGGGGGGUAGAAUUCCUGGUGUAGCAGUGAAAUGCGUAGAUAUCAGGAGGAACACCGAUGGCGAAGGCAGGUCUCUGGGCUGACACUGACGCUCAUGCACGAAAGCGUGGGGAGCAAACAGG
rnacentral:rRNA from 1 species